CGCGGCCUAUCAGCUUGUUGGUGAGGUAACGGCUCACCAAGGCAUCGACGGGUAGCUGGUCUGAGAGGAUGAUCAGCCACACUGGGACUGAGACACGGCCCAGACUCCUACGGGAGGCAGCGGUAGGGAAUCUUGCGCAAUGGGCGAAAGCCUGACGCAGCAACGCCGCGUGGGGGAUGACGGCCUUCGGGUUGUAAACCUCUUUUAGCAGGGAAGAAGCGCAAGUGACGGUACCUGCAGAAAAAGCACCGGCUAACUACGUGCCAGCAGCCGCGGUAAUACGUAGGGUGCAAGCGUUGUCCGGAAUUAUUGGGCGUAAAGAGCUCGUAGGCGGUUUGUCGCGUCUGCUGUGAAAAUCCGAGGCUCAACCUCGGACCUGCAGUGGGUACGGGCAAACUAGAGUGCGGUAGGGGAGAUUGGAAUUCCUGGUGUAGCGGUGGAAUGCGCAGAUAUCAGGAGGAACGCCAAUGGCGAAGGCAGAUCUCUGGGCCGUAACUGACGCUGAGGAGCGAAAGCGUGGGGAGCGAACAGGAUUAGAUACCCUGGUAGUCCACGCCGUAGACGGUGGGAACUAGAUGUGGGGUCCGUUCCACGGAUUCCGUGUCGCAGCUAACGCAUUAAGUUCCCCGCCUGGGGAGUACGG
rnacentral:rRNA from 1 species